rnacentral:rRNA from 1 species
AUUAAACGCUGGCGGCAUGCCUUACACAUGCAAGUCGAACGGCAGCACGGGGGCAACCCUGGUGGCGAGUGGCGGACGGGUGAGUAAAGCAUCGGAACGUAUCCUGGAGUGGGGGAUAACGUAGCGAAAGUUACGCUAAUACCGCAUAUUCUGUGAGCAGGAAAGCAGGGGAUCGCAAGACCUUGCGCUCUGGGAGCGGCCGAUAUCGGAUUAGCUAGUUGGUGGGGUAAAGGCCUACCAAGGCGACGAUCCGUAGCGGGUCUGAGAGGAUGAUCCGCCACACUGGGACUGAGACACGGCCCAGAUUCCUACGGGAGGCAGCAGUGGGGAAUUUUGGACAAUGGGCGCAAGCCUGAUCCAGCCAUUCCGCGUGAGUGAAGAAGGCCUUCGGGUUGGUUAAAG